CUUUUUUCUUUGCUCUUGACACCUUCCACCCUUUUGGAAAAAAAUCCCCAUUUUUUCAAGCCGUUUUGUCACUUGUCAUGAAAUGCUUAGGCUGAAACACAUUGCAUUUCCAUCCAUAGCCAUUAAGUAGUAAUUAUUUGCUUCUGGAUAUGCCUUACAUCUUGGCUUGAAUAGUGUAGAACAGGACUAAUUCCAGUCUCCCUAGGAUAUCGUCUUCUGUAUCACUGAAGAGACCUAUCUUCAUGCCAGCACAACUGAGAUCUGGAAUCUUAUCUUAGCUCUGUUACACAUUGGAAUCCCCACCUAGGAGUUGUGCUUAUGGCAGAGUGUGUUAAUGACGGAGGAGUAGAAUGUAGUAAGCCAAAAUGCUGGCAUAAACAGUGAAUUUUUAAAAAAUAUUUGUGAACAACAAAUUGGGGGUUAUUUUUGUAAAUUGUGUUGUAGACAUUAAUUUUCCCUCUUUUUAGAAUAUUUUGAUUAAAUAGAAGUGCAACACUGGCCUAAGGUAAAUUGCAGUCCUUCUGGUGCAAUUCCAUCUUUUAGUUUUCUUUCUGUUCCUUAGGAACAACUUUUUGAUGUCCCUGAAACACUAAGUGCAUGAUGAUUAAAAUUCCAUCCAUGCAGUGUAGCUCAGAAAGUAAAUACACAUUUCAGGAAUACAAAGUGUCAAACUUUCAAAAGAUUUCAUCUGCUUCCUCAGUCAUCAGUGACCAAAUAAUAACACCUGGAUGGUGGGGGGGGGGGGGAGGGGGGCAGAGAGGAAGGGAAGUCAUUUACUGAGGGAAGGAAAUCUGUUUUGUCUUCAUAAAUAUUAUCAAUAGAAUGACUUAGAGUUAGUAUUUUAGGCCUGGUAUCUUAUGUAAUGGCUCUUAACAGUUUGGGAAGCCUAAAAACACAGCACAGAGAAAUAAUGAGAAAUAGUAGCUGUUGUUUCAAGAAAGCUUUUAACCUGAAAUGGUGGAAGCGUAAUGCUACCCAUUGCUAUGAAUUUGUAUGGCUACACUGUAGUCAGGGAGCUGCUCUUCCAUCACCUUCCUCAUUCCAUAUCUGUGAGCCCAUCCAGUAGGUAAGAAAUCCCUUAGCCUCUCAUCAGAUAUGGUGUCAUUCAAACUGGAGGGAGGGAGGAAGGAGGGGAGAUACCUAAGGAUGCCCAGAUGUGGAGCUACUGAGAGCAUAGCUGGAAAUAAGCUGGGAGGAGGCUACUGAGGCAGCUGAGGGCCUGGAGUGCCACCAAGGAGGAAAUGGAGUUGGGAGACUUCAGGCACCAGGCAGGGUAUGUCCACCUGGUAAGGUGGAUGUUUUCGCAGGUUCACACACUAGUUGGGUUUUGGCAGAGACCUCUGUAGACCUCUGUGGUCCAGACCUCCUGCUCAACCAGGGUCCGAUAGAGCAGGUUGCCCAGGACUUCAAACCUCCAGUUUGCAAGGGUAGAGGGGCAGCUGGGGAAUGGGAUUUGGUUUACAUGAGGGGCAGGACACCUUAAAAAGAUUGAGAAAUGCAGGCCUAAUGAAAAUCUUAUUUUCAAAUAAAUAAGAAGGAAAAAGUAUGUUUUUUAUUAGGUGUGGUUCCAGCCCUUGAUGAUCCCGUAGUACUGCUGUAUGUAUGUGCGUAGGAAUUAUGGAAUGACCAGCAGUAUGUUUUUGAUAAAUUCAGAGUCAUCCUAGUUGCUGAUUCAUCUUUCCACAGUAUUGUUUGCGAUUACUUAAAAUCUUUCUCUUCUCCCUCAUGUUCGAAGACGGUUCUCACUGCCUCAAGUAUGAUCAGAAUCACGUGUGUUAAGACAGUUACCAUGAUAAGAUGUUGCCAACUUGGCUUUCUCUUGCUUGUAACCUCUACAAAAAGAGAUUUCAGGACCUUAGUGGGUGAUUUGAGGCCAGCUACCUUCAGUAGCAUCAAUGAAUCUUCUUGUACUUAGACCAUGUAUAAUCAGAGUUCUUGUGUCUUCUGACUGGCAUUGUGUUUCUACUCUGAAUGGAUUUACUGCCUCACUCUUUUGUCUUUUAUUUGAAGAAAAGUAUUUAAGACAAAAAACCCUUUUAACUACAGCGAGAUUUGUGAGUAGUAUUUGCAUGCCUUCAAAUUGCCAGUUGCCCUCCCAUUCAGAGCUUAUAAACUGAUUUUUCAGUGUCUAUGGUUCUAGUCUCCAGAUAAGUAACCUAGACUUUCAGAUUCUUUUCUCGUAGGAGGCACAAAGCUAUCAAGUUCCUGAUAGAGUAUUAGUACUUCUAGAAACCAUAAAUGCAUUUUUGUGAAAUCUCGAAAGAUAAUUUAUUUCCCUAACAGAUACUACUGGUUUCAAAUUGUAGUGACCCCAGCAUUAUAGCAAUAAGAAUCAAAACUGAAAGUGGUAAUACACAAGUGUUUAAUGCUAUAGAUUUGAUGUCAAGGCUGAGAGAAGUGAAAACAUAAGCAUAUAACACAAAAGCAAAUUGGAUUUCUAAAGGUUGUUAUUAGUCUGUGGUUUUGAUACUACACUGGGAAGGAUAUUUGUUGAAUUGAAUGUGAUUUUGAAGGCAGCUACUUAAACAUGCUAUUUUGGGGAAAUUUUCCAUCACAAAAACAAAAUCAUAAUAUUAGAGGAGUGAAGAUUUCAUUUGCAUUAUUGGGAGUCAUGUGGUUGGAGAUGUCCAGCUUGACUGAAAGAACAUUUCACUCCAGAAGCAAGAAGAUUGUAGAGAGCAGUUGUCAGACUAUUAAUAGUGCCGAAUACUCUUUGUUACUCGGUAUUAGAUUACUACAGUAAGAGUACUUGAAAAUAUAUUUUUAAGAGAAAAGGUAACACUAAAAUAUGUGCUUGCUUCUUUGUCAAGUAUUCUCAUUGUGGAACUAGAAAACUCCUCUUUCUUUUUUAGCUUGUACUCAAAAAUAUGUUUGCGUGUGUUUGCCUUAAUAUGGCAUAAUGUCAUCAGCCAAGCUACUACAUAUACCUCCUGAGGUCUCCUUACCUGCUAAGUGAAACAUGUUGCCCUGAAUCAUCUUCACUGAGUGUUAGCUGAUGUAUUUUAUCUUUCAACUGGGAUGGGAAAUGAUGGGCAAUGCUCAGCAGUUAGCAAAACUCAGGGAACAGGUUGGAACUCUUUAAGCCCAUGAUAUUGUUGAAUCUGUACCCAUAACCUAUCAAAAAGAUUUAAACAGGCAGAAAGUGGAUAACAACUUUUGAUCUGACAGUGAUUUGGGAACCAGGUCUCAGUCCUUUUCCUAUCAAUCACUCAUGUACUCUGUUGACUUGGACCAAUCCACUUUAACAUCUCUGCUUCAUUUUCCAUAUGGAAAAAAUAAGUGAUAGCUACUUACCUGAGAAGUUUGUUGCCAUACCCCAUUAGAAUAAACUUUUUUAAAGCAUUUGAAAGGUGAAAAGCAGUGUUCAAAAAGAACUGGAGCUUUCUGUUGUUCCUCCUUAAUGUGCUGUCAUGCACCUAAUGAGAGAACUUCUGACUCAGCAUAAAUAUGGGCCUUUACUUUUUGAACUUCAGGACUUCUGUACAUGCAUAACCAAUAAUAAUAAUUACACUCCUAAUUGCUUGGAUGUCAGGGGGAGGAGGGAAUGGACUCCAGCCUACAUCAAGAACUGGUAAAACCUAUGUUCUGUUAGUGGAUCCAUGUGUGCAACCAUGCUCGGUUUGGGGUCCUGUUGGUAACGUCCAGAGCAGAAGCUCAGCAAGUAUAAUUGUUUUUGUGAGUAGCUUGAGUUAUGUAUCACUUUGUUCCAUGAGUGUGAAGCUUAAGUGAAUACUGUAUUACCUGUGGCAAUGCAGACAGUCUUUCAUUAAUAAUACAAGGUUUUCCUGGGUUUCCUGGUCCUGAGAAGAGAUGGGGCACUGCAAGUACACAGCCAAAUUGCUGCAGGAAUAAAGAUGAUGUUUUAGGUGUUGCAGAACACUUUCCGAGACUUGCUGUAGCAGGGAGGAUCAAAAGCAGUGGACAAAGGAGAGAAGAACUAGCCAUUGUCAAACCAUCUGAAAAAGUGGGAAUCUGGGGCUGCCCCUUUUGUCCUGUUGCUCUUGUGCAGAGCUGGAUGCCAAGAUGGGCAUGUCAGAGCAAGGGACACUGGGCACAUCACAGCGCCAUUCUGGAAGGAGCUCUGAAAGCACAGGCUAACAAUGAGCUUGUGGAGACAGGGGUCACAGGAUGCAGAUACUGCGGAGAGCUGGUGGCUCCUUGAGGCUCAACUUAUCCCAGCUCAGAUGAGUCCAGAAGUGGUAUCACCUGGGGAGAAAGAAUGGAACUCAGAGGCUUUGGUUGAGGAAUUUGGAGAGGCACCUUCUCCACACCUGUGGACAAUUUUGCAUCAGAAGAAGAAGGAUGACAUGUUCUUCAAACUUUACAAGAGCCCCAAGUCAAGAUUUCUGUGAAACAAUGCGGGGGGGGAGGAGUGCCUGCUUGAAGAAAGACAGAACUGGAGAGAAGCGUAGGAAAGUGAGUGAAGACAUUAAGCAUCUCCAGAGAGGGCAAGUGUGGAUUCCACAAAGCAUUAUGAGACAAAACAUCCGAAGAUGUGUGCUCCAGCAGGUCAACUAUGCAGCCCACUGUCCUCAUGGGGCUUUCCCUGUAUAUGUUUCUACUGGCCAAGUACACAGUUUUACAAGCUACAGUUUCUCUUUCACUCAGCCCUGGUGGAAAAUUAGAAUUGUGAUGAGUAUUCCUACACCGACCUUGGGUGCAGGUAGGGACAACAAGCAACUUGCUCUAGUUUUCUAGCCUGAUUAUCUUUGGAAACAGGAUGUAGGAAGCCAUGACAUGUCUCCUUUCAUCUGCAUACCUCUGGAGAGUUCCCUCCCUUUCCCCACUAACUUUUGAACCACUCUUGGCCAGUUUCAACCAAAACUUUAUAGAUGGGUAGGAGUCUCAAAGCCUCAAAGUUUUUACAGCUUUUGGGAAGAUAGGUGAGCAGGUAGGUGAUAGAAUCCAACAGGAAAGAGGCCUUGUAGAGAUCCAAACCAGGAAGAUGGCUUUAACUGAAGUUCAUACCUGCUUUUUACACAGAAGUCACUCACAAGAAAUGAAGCUAUAAGAAACCAUGGUCUUUCUGAUCCUCACAGAGCAACUUCUUACAUGGCUGUAAAUGUUUUGAGAAGCGGCAUUGGUUUUUUUACUACUCAAUAGUUCAAUAAAGUGGUUAUUUGUAAUAUUUGCAUUAUUUGUCUCACACAACAAAUAUAACACCCAAAUUUGUUACUCUGUCACCAGAGACAUCAAAUGGGCUAACCAUUAAUUUAAAAAGAAUGUGUAGUACCAGUACUGCUUAUUUAAUGAAGUUGUACAAAAUGAACAUAAAUGAACCACCUGAUACAUGGCAUCUUGUUAAAGAGUCCUCUUCUUUUGACCUCCCAUAGCUCUGUGAUGGCUGGUAAUUGAUCUUACGUCUGGUUGUUCAAGAUCAGAGGAUACUUUUUUCCCUUGCCAAUACUGUCUUCCAUUUGUUCCAUUUCCUGCAUUGCUUCACAUAUUAUUGUAUGAAAUACAAUUUCAGAUAUGACAGCAGAAGCAUGUGUCUUGCCAUGGGCAUUUUCACCUGGCUUUUGGCUUACCAGAUGCACAUUCAUGUUAUCCUGUUCUUCCUUCGUGGUUAAACCAUUGUUGCUAGUAUGUGGCUUCGUAAGUCAGGGAAUGAAAGGGUAGGGCUUCUUCUGAUAUUGAGCCUCUCAGGAUGUUUCUACCUGUAACAAUGUGCCAAUCUGGGAAAAAAUGACUCUGCCUGCAGUUUUUAUUAAAGCUCUGAAUUCCUCAGGA